rnacentral:lncRNA from 1 species
CAUAAAUAAUAUUUCAAUCGUUAAAUUUAAAGGUACUGAAAAUAUUAUAAUUUAUUAAUUGUAAAUAAGUAAUAGAGACAUUUUUUUUAAAUUAUAUAAAUAUAUUUAAUUGGGGGGGACUAACUUCCCCCUAUUUAAUGGGAAUUUGUUCGGUUCAUUAAAUGAUUUCGGUCAUUAGCUAUGCAGCCGCUGAGGAUGAAGUCUAGUCACGCCUAUGUUUGUAGUUCAAACAAAAUGAUUGUACCGGAUAAUUAUUGAGUGAUAAUUAUUCAAAUAAAAUUAUAGAAUAAAAAGUUUUAUACACGCAAUCGUGUUGAUUAAUUUUUUUUUUUAAAUAAUCUAUCAGUAAACAUACGCAAUCGUGCUCUACUACUGUCAAAUACCUUUCUAUCUACAACAAUGGCCUAUCCAUAAUGUCGAUUAUGUCGAGAUUUGUUUUGAUUUUUUUUUUUUUUUAAUUUCACAGGUAAACUAGUUAUUGAAACGUUAGACAAUUUAAAAAUUAAUAAUUCGCUAGACGUCAGAACAAUAUUAUUACACAACUAUUAAACCUAUAGUACCUACAAACGAUCGCAGUUCUCGUACCUGCAAGAAAAUUGAACAAGCACUUUAUUCGACAUUGUAUUAUGGGACUGCGGUUCCAUUAUAUUUUACAUAUACAAUUUAAUUGUGCGUGUACGGUAAAAGAUCGUGUACAUGAGUUAAAAGUUUACACGUUAAACCUUACUUAAUUCUUGUACCAUAACCGGAGUCGUGUGUACUGCAGGGUUUAAAAAAAUUAAUCGAACAACAUAUUCAUUGUACCUCGUCUGUUCUUGAUACUGUGUAAAAUAAAAUGCAAAUACAAAAUUAGUAGGUAUAUGGUAAUUAAAAACAUUACGCGUCGUAUUCAAUAGAAUCGAACUAAUGCCACUAUACUAGUUCGAUUUUAAAAUUUUCAGAAAGUAUUUCAAACUAAGAUACUCUAAAAUUUUCACUUCUCACAUUGUAUUAUUUUAUGAACUCCGUACAUACGUAUAUUAUUUUCUCUACGAUAAGACUUACUAAUGUAUUUCGUUAAAUUUCAUUAUCUUGUAAUUUGUUCUAAUUUUUUUUUUUUUUAUUCCAACGUUUAUUAUAGACGAUUAUUUAUAAUAAAUAAUAAUGUAGGUACACGGUGUGAUUGGUUAAUCGAUUGGGUAUUGUAUUAUACUGUUAGUAAUAUUAAGAUAUACUCGUAAAUAAUUAAAAUAAUGAUAGUAUAUAAUUAUAAUUAUAAUACGGUCGUUCAUCACAAACCCCAAACAACAACAUGUCGGCAUGGGGAGAGUUUCCGGGGGAAGUUACUGAUCAACUUUAAUUAUAGCAGCUUGUUUUCAAACAAAUUGUUGAAGGGAUAGACUUGAGUCAUAUAUACAUAUAUAAUAUAUAUAUAUAUAUAGUUAAUGGCAGUCGAAUGAAGAGAAUUCACUGGUAUUCUGUGGUAGAAGAGGUUUAAUUAAAAACAAACCCCUGGUCGUCUUUCUCUCUCUCACUAUCUCUCUCUCUCUCUCUCUCUCUCUAUCUAUCUAUCUAUGUCUUUCUAUCGCUUUUUUUCUCGUGUACUCUAGUCGAACUUUACAAAACAUCGAAAAAAAAAAAUAUCCUUACUGAAAUUUUCACCUUGCGCAGAAGCUGUCAAAAUGACAGAUGUCCAACAAAACUACUCGGAUGAUUACGAAAAGUUGUUGGCACUUCUAAAGUUUUUUCACACAAAAACACCUGU